ACGGUUCGUGCGACGCAGCUAACGCAUUAAGCGCCCCGCCUGGGGAGUACGAUCGCAAGAUUAAGACUCAAAGGAAUUGACGGGCCCCCGCACAAGCAGCGGAGCAUGCGGCUUAAGUCGACGCAACGCGAAGAACCUUACCAAGGCUUGACAUAUACAGGAAUACGGCAGAGAUGUCGUAGCCGCAAGGUCUGUAUACAGGUGGUGCAUGGUUGUCGUCAGCUCGUGUCGUGAGAUGUUGGGUUAAGUCCCGCAACGAGCGCAACCCUCGUUCUGUGUUGCCAGCAUUUAGUUGGGGACUCACAGGAGACUGCCGGGGUUAACUCGGAGGAAGGUGGGGAUGACGUCAAAUCAUCAUGCCCCUUAUGUCUUGGGCUGCACGCAUGCUACAAUGGCUGGUACAGACGGCUGCGAUACCGCAAGGUGGAGCGAAUCCGAUAAAGCCAGUCUCAGUUCGGAUUGGGGUCUGCAACUCGACCCCAUGAAGUCGGAGUUGCUAGUAAUCGUAGAUCAGCAACGCUACGGUGAUACGUUCCCGGGGCUUGUACACACCGCCCGUCACAUCACGAAAGUCGGUAACACC
rnacentral:rRNA from 1 species